rnacentral:lncRNA from 1 species
GAAAAUGGAUGUACACACCGCACCUUUCCUACAACAACUUUGUUGCCAAAAACCAUUUUUUUGUAGCAACUACUAUAAAUUCACAACCAUGACCACCCUACCCUUAUUCACCAAUUGUAAACAAAUAUGGCAUUCUUAUCUCUUAUCAAAAUAUCUUUGUCUCUUUCAUUUUUCUGCGUUAUUUUACCAUCAUUCUCCUCUUCAAGACCAACUUUUCGAACAUUCGAACACCUUCUCCAAUCUUAUUUCCCAAAAUCACAAGCUGAAAGUUUGAUAAGAAUAUCUUGUUAACAUAAAAGCUGAUGACACUGCUUACGUCUCGGGCAGUAUUGUGGAGAACAAAGUUCCAUUUUUAGGUGUUUCAGGGCCUUCUGUUGAAUAGCUUGGUCACCAUCCAGGAUAUUACUCACUUCUUCAUUCAAAUGAUGCAAGGUAAGAUCCAAUAAUUAAUCAAUACAUAGAUACUAUUGAACAUUAUUGAUUUGGAUUGGUUAGUUAUGAUAUAUUUAUAUACACUUUUUAAAUUUAAUUUAUUAACAGUUCCACAUAAAUAUUUGGUUGAUUGGAGGACCAGGUUGCAACAAUUCAUUAGAAUUGCGAAUAACAUGUUUCUUGUGUUGAAUGACUAUGUCCAUUUAGGAUUGUUGCAUAAUUAUCACUACAUGUCUCUUGCAUAUGAUUGUGUCAAGAACUUAUGAUUUUCAAGAAAUUGAUCGAGUUAACCGAUUAAGCAAAGAGUUAAUCAAUUAACUAUAGAAAAUUGUUAAUUGAUUAAGUCAAGUUGUUAAUCAAUUAAACUAGGGAAAAUCAACAGAUAUCUCUCAAAACCAAAAAGUUUGAGUCUUAUACCAAACCACUUAUUAACCCCCCUUGAUGUGUGUUAGAGCCCUUGUUAUUCAACAGAAAGCACAUCACUUUCUUGUUUACCAAACACACUCACAAUACCCUAUGGUGAUCUUUGUUUUGAGAAGUAGAAGAAGACUUUUCAGAAGGCUAAGGAUUACUAUACCCAGUCUAUUUGAUGUAUGAAUCCUUUAUAAGAACACUCAAACUUAAUAACGCACUUUGCUCUUGGUUUUUUAGAUCAAAAGAAAGUGUAGAAAAAGUUUUCUGAAAAAGUUCGAAAGUUCGAAUGCACGAGUGUUCUAUUUGCUACGUCAAUGUGUUGUUCAAUAUUGUUAUUCCUUUCAUACAUUUAGGAUGAUAUUUAUAGACUUUAUAAGUCUUCCAUGAUCCAUUUCAGGAUGUACAAAAUGUUUGGGAAGGCAAUCGUUCAUAUGGAUAGGUGUUGGUUGAGUUCCAAAUUCAAAUCAUCACUUCCAACAUACAGUAAUCAAUUAUUGUGUCAUUGUAAUCAAUUAUAGGACUUUAGUAUCCAAUAGGGUAAUCGAUUACCCACUUAAAGUAAUCACUUAUUGCCUCUUUCCCUAAUAAGUAAUGUGUUACUUGGUUUUCUAAUAACUUCGUUUUAGGGCCUUUUAACUCUUUUCAUCCCUUUAAAACAUUUGUAAAAUCAUUGUCAAGAGCAUUAUGUGAUACUAAAUAAAAAUAGUACAUAUACUAGGAAGAAAUUUAAGUCUUAUAUAUUUUCUUGUGCUUUCCAUACUUCAAGGUCUUCAACCUUUUUCUUCUUGUUUUUUUAUGUUGGUGUCUUAAUGAAAACAUAGACAAGGUCAAAGAGAGGCUCUUAUUCACAACUCCCCUUUUACGAUGAUGACAAAUGAUAAGUGUCAAAAAGACCUAAUUUUCACACACUUUUCAUGGCACCUAUCCGAUGCAAAAAUGUUAAAACCAACUUAAUUCAACACUUUUUAGAUAAAUUUUGUAGAAUUGAAUAAAAUAAUUUUUGAUCAUUUUUUGUCCAAGUUUUCUUUAAAUUUUGUAGGAAAUUGAAUAAAAAAGAAUUAAUCCAAAAGAUAGCCAAACUACAAGCCAAAUUACAAGCCAAAAGCUAAAAAAGAAUUGCUCAAAACAAAUAAGCUAAGCAUGGUAUGCUAUAUGCUUAGAUAGUAACAAAAAAGAUGGCUUAGUCUAGAAGAAAGGUACCUUACCUUAUGUUGAAGAAACCCAAGCUAGGUACGCCAAUUAAAAUGCAUAAUUCAAAAACUUACUUAGACUUGAAGAAAUCAUGCUAAAAGUACCAAGUAACCAACCAAAUUAGUUGAAGAACAAUGAGAAAAAGGUUGAUCCGACUUGAAGAAAGGUAGUUUCCUUCACCUUGAAGAAACAUGGCCAACAACCCAACGUUGACAAAAGGGGUUAGGUGCCCAAGCAGGUGCACCAAAACUAACCAUAAAGAAAGCUUGGCCAACUCACCAAGCAACUUGCCUAUUCUUUACUUGAAGACCAAUCACAUGACCUUAUGCAUGACCUAUGCUCUGAACAACCAAGUAGGAGGUGUCACCAUGCAUGCGACCUAGCUCACAAUAGGCUGUCCAAGCUAGCUGGCCAAGGAUGACAAGCUGAUGACCAGCAGCUUUGGGAGUCACAAAUCGCUUGGUCAGGAGAUGAGCGGGCCCUAAAGGGGGCUAAGAGCACAACAUAAUGCUUAUAAAAGGCACUCCCAUUUCCUCACUUUUGUGAAGAAGAUCUUGCUCCUAACCUUGCACAGUUUUGAUGAAGACACCAAGAUCACUAAAAGAAGAAAAGGAAGAAGACAUGGAGACAUAGAAGAUUCAAGCUUCAAGAUAUAUACAUAUUAAGUCUUCAUAUAGGUACUUCUAUCCUUAUACUCACUUUUAUAUUUAGUAGCAAUGCUCAAAGAAAUUAAAAUCAUUAUGAAAGAAUUGGAUAUGUCUAAAAAUUCAAAGUCAAAUUACUAAGUAAUGAGUUACUUAGUCAGGCAUCCUGUUAUGCAGUUUCUAGUAAUCCGUUACCAACUGCCUCACAGUUCAGGUAACCUGUUACCCAAUUUGAAAGUGUGCAUGUCAAGAAGAACAAUUUGGAAAGCUCUCCUUAUAUGUCAUGGUUUUGAUGAGGACAACUUGUGCUUAUAAGAGCUUGAAGAUCAUCAACAAAUCAACGUGCUUAAGUCCUUAAUUGGUACUAGGCUUAGACUAGAAUCUAGUUUAAGUUGAGUCAAGGCUUAGGGCACCUAAUACAUGUCUCAUAUGCAU